UACGUAGGAGACGAGCGUUGUCCGGAAUCACUGGGCGUAAAGCGCGUGUAGACGGAUCGGCAAGUCUGCUGUGAAAGCUCCUGGCUUAACCGGGAGUGGUCGGUGGAAACUGCCAGUCUGGAGGACGGUAGAGGUAGGUAGAAUUCCCGGUGUAGUGGUGAAAUGCGUAGAGAUCGGGAGGAAUACCUGUGGCGAAGGCGGCCUACUAGGCCGGACCUGACGCUGAGACGCGAAGGCGUGGGGAGCGAACGGG
rnacentral:rRNA from 1 species